AAUUUAUAUUUCUUCCAAUUCAUAACGAUAAUUCUCCCACUGAGCUACAGAUCCUUGCGGCCACACUACUUCUACUCCAUUAUCAAUCUCAGAUCUGUUCAUAUAUCCCAUUUUGGAGCAGUUCGUUUGGGGGCUAUCAGUUAUCUGCUCUUAAUUUCAAUUUUCUAGUUUGUGAUUCUGGGUACUGGAGUGAACUAGUGCUAUUUAUUGGAGAAUUGGAA
rnacentral:misc_RNA from 1 species